UACGGAGGGGACUAGCGUUGUUCGGAAUUACUGGGCGUAAAGCGCACGUAGGCGGAUUUGUAAGUCAGGGGUGAAAUCCCGAGGCUCAACCUCGGAACUGCCUUUGAUACUGCAAAUCUCGAGUCCGGAAGAGGUGAGUGGAAUUCCUGGCGUAGAGGUGAAAUUCGUAGAUAUUAGGAAGAACACCAGUGGCGAAGGCGGCUCACUGGUCCGGUACUGACGCUGAGGUGCGAAAGCGUGGGGAGCAAACAGG
rnacentral:rRNA from 1 species